rnacentral:lncRNA from 10 species
CCAGGGUCCGCCCAGCUCCGGGCCACCUCCCACCUUGCUCAGCAGGGCCUUGCGGUGCCUCUGUAUCCUUGAGUCUGCGGGACAGAGGCCAGUGGGGAGGUCUGGUAAGGGAAGAGUGGGCACAAUCAGCCCAGGUGUUCCCCACCCCGCGUCUGCCUCCCAAGCCGGUCCUACCAUUGCUGCAGGGCCCCAGCGGGGCAUCCGGUGUCCUAUCCAGGGCCUGCGGGGCCUGGGAGCCUUGACUGCCCUUCCCAGCCAGCAGAUCCAUGAGGGCUUUCACCUGCUCGGCUGGGGAGCCCGUACCGUGGCCCUGGCCGGCCUCCCUGCCCGUCCGCACCUCUUGCUUCCUCAUGGAGUCGGGGAUCACCUCCAGGAGCUGUGAAGAGAGGGCCUGAACCUGCUGCCUGCCGUGCCCCCCAUCCAGCAGCCUGGGACAGGCCCUGGGGAUGUGAAGGUGACCAAGUUAGAUCAAGUCCUUGACCUGCGGUUUGACGGGUAAGGGAUAAUGGCAAUGGAAAGGAAAACAAGUCAAUAAGCAAGGCAGUUUCUGCUGGUGGUUAGUGCUGUGAGUGGAAUAAACUGUGAGUGACAAAGAAGCCUGGAAUUCUAGGGGGAGGAGGAGCAGAGGUGGUAAUUGGCGGCUGGGGAAGGCUGCUGUGAGAGGCCUCUGAGAAAAAGCUACCUAGGAGUAGAGAGGGUGAGAAAGAGUCAUGCAGAGAGCUAGGGGAGGGACAUUUCAGGCCAAGGAAACAGCAAGUGCUUAGAGGAAAUGUUGCUGGAACAUGGUAAGUGAGCAAGUGGCACCACCCCCUCAGGGCUGGAAAAGCCAGUCACCGUUGUUGUAAGGAGUUUGGAUUUGUUCUAAGUAUGGAGGGGAGCCACUGGGGGGAGUGACAUGAGCAAUGGAUAUCAGAUCUCUCCUGGAAUCCAUGAGCUACACUAAAUGAUUUUCUGAUAUUGAACCAACCUUGCAUUCUAGAAUACAGUCUUCCAUUUGUAUUAUUAAAUAGAAGAUGUAUAUAUUCCAUAUAUGUAAAAAAUGUGUGGGCUAGCACAAGAAUAGAUACAUAAGUCAACAGAAUAGGAUAUAGAGGCCAGGAACAAAUAUAUAUUUAUAAUAUCUA